rnacentral:sRNA from 1 species
CUGCCUUGGGUACUACGAAAUACGAAUCGACAACGGGCAACUCAAAGAACAGGAACAUUCCUCUUCACAACCCGUUCCAACUCCCACAGACAACUUCGCAGCUAGAAGCGAACACACCAGAAAAUCAUGCCAUAUUUCCAAACCCAAAUUUUCUCUCGUGCUUCAAUGCGGUUUGCCAUCUGCCACGAGGCGAUGCGCAUCCUACCGCGCUUGCAGAGGCGAGAUUUGAGAAGUGACUAGUCCCCUGGACCUCAGAUGAAAAGAGCUCCCUCACAAGCUAAAGUAUGCUUCUAGAUAUCCGGAAAGGCGAGGAAUCAAUCGAUCUUAGGGAAACGACCACUGAGUUUUGAAACAUUUGUGUAACUGCGGAUGUAACUCGAUUGGUUCCGAGAAUAUCUCAUUUCGCACACAAUAGCCGCUUGCUGGCCGUUAUUGCGGGAACCAGCAGCACAGCGGUCGAAGAUAUCUAUCUGACCUGGUUUAUUUUUCCAAACUCACAUUUUGCUAAUAGUCAUAUAUACGCACAUUACACGAUCUCGGAGCAUAGUUCUAUAGAAUCGAAGGGUUUGGCUGUUUCCAAGCAGGAGAUACCCCUGUUGUGCUUUUCUCCUCUUCUCAUUUGUUUUUGGGCCCCGAGCAACUCCGCGAUUAGAGCAUUCCCGCACUCCCCCUGGGCCCGUGCACUGUGUGUGACAGCUGGGGAUUGUAAUAGCAAACGUCAAACAGCGCGGGGUCUACGGCGGAAAAAAAAAACAAAAAUAAUUAGAUACCAAACGAAUCAAAUGGUGGCGGC